GGCUCGGUAGCUUAGUUGGUAAAGCGCUCGUCUAGCAUACAAGAGUCCUGGGUUCGUAUCCCAACCGAGCAC
rfam:Aedes aegypti strain Liverpool supercont1.478 genomic scaffold, whole genome shotgun sequence.